rnacentral:lncRNA from 1 species
UAGCAUUCUUCAUGUUGAAGCGUUCUAGUACACGUUCAAUGUACUUCUCCUGAGAUAGCCACAACUUUCUACUUGUUCUCUCUCGAUCUAUCUUCAUCCAUAGAAUUUGUUGUGCUGGGCCCAAGUCCUUCAUAUCAAAUGACUUGGACAGAUCUCCCUUCAACUUUGCUAUCAACCCCUUGUCUUUUCCUACAAUUAACAUGUCAUCCACAUACAACAAUAAUAUAAUAUGCUAUCAACCCCCUGUCUUUUCCUACAAUUAACAUGUCAUCCACAUACAACAACAAUAUAAUAAAAUUAUUUUCAGAAAAUCUUUUGAAGUAUACACAUGGAUCAGAAUAGAUCUUUAUAUAUAUUUGACUUUUCAUGAAUGAGCCAAACUUCAUGUACCGCUGCCUUGGUGCCUGCUUUAAUCCAUAAAGAUUCUUAUUCAAUUUGCACACCAUGUGUUUCUUUCCAG